rnacentral:rRNA from 1 species
UAGAGUUUGAUCCUGGCUCAGAUUGAACGCUGGCGGCAGGCCUAACACAUGCAAGUCGAACGGUAACAGGAAACAGCUUGCUGUUUCGCUGACGAGUGGCGGACGGGUGAGUAAUGUCUGGGAAACCGCCUGAUGGAGGGGGAUAACUACUGGAAACGGUAGCUAAUACCGCAUAACGUCGCAAGACUAAAGAGGGGGACCUUCGGGCCUCUUGCCAUCAGAUGUGCCCAGAUGGGAUUAGCUAGUAGGUGGGGUAACGGCUCACCUAGGCGACGAUCCCUAGCUGGUCUGAGAGGAUGACCAGCCACACUGGAACUGAGACACGGUCCAGACUCCUACGGGAG